rnacentral:lncRNA from 1 species
UGGACACACUUUUACAAUGUGAAAACGUUUGGAUUUUUGCACCUGACUAUUUUUAAACUAUUCUCUAUAUCAAGUGUACAACUAUCUAAUAACAUCGUAUGGUUGUUCAGGCAUGGGAUCUGUGGACAAGCAACAGGACAUUGGAGUUGAUUGAUGAUCCAGUAUUAGAAGAUGAAUAUUCCUCCAAGCAUAUGCUUUUAAGAUAUGUGAACAUAGCACUCCUUUGUGUACAAGAAAGUGCUGAUGAUAGUGUUGGGGAAAAAUUAAGUUUUUAAAUUUUUUAUAAAACCUUUUGAAGAUCGCUCUCAUAUAAUAUAUAAGAAUUCGUAAUCUAGAAAUCGUACCUUGAAAAUCCGAGUUGGCUUUUCCCGCUGAAAUGAUUUAGGCUCCUAGAUCACGAUAUGCCACCACCACUCCUGUUAGAUCACGAUAUGCCACCACCACUCCUGUUAGAUCACGAUAUGCCACCACCACUCCUGUUAGAUCACGAUCCGUCACCACCACGCUUGUUAGAUCACGAACUGUCACCAAUGAUCUUCCAGGUUAUGACUCAGGUUCGAUAUGCACUUGACGUGUGGGCGCCUUUAUCACUACCAAAGCAACUAGCACGAGAAAAUUUUUCUCUCAACAAUAGAGAGAAAAAUCUUAUUCUCCGAUUUGUAUAAAGUGGCUUCACCUUUUUUCUUUUGAGAAAAUAAGCCUUAUAUAUCUCCCUUUAGUGAAAACCCUAGACUCCAAAUAAUGCCCAAAAUAAAACUCACCUUACUUUUCAUUUAAUAGGGGACCCACCAUGUAAAAUAACAUAAGACCCCUUACACAUAAGCUAAUUAAAUGGAGCCUCCCACUAAAUGAUAUAUUUAGGCUUUUGACCCAAAUAACUAGUUAUCUUGCUUAUUAGUCCAGUAGUGGUGCAGUCAAUUAAAUGAGCUAACCCGGGGAUCAUUUGGGAACAUACAAUAGUGGCUAUAACAAUUAGGCCUGUAAUUAAACUAGCAUAAUUAUUUAAUUCCAAAUCUACUCCACUAAAAGAUUGGAAUUGACCUCCAUAAUUGUAUGCUCGAAUAAUAAUUCGUCCCAAGCCACAUUGAUUUCUUUACUGCACAAUCCUUUGUACCACAUCGUUAAUUAAAUCGAUAUCUCAAUUGUCCAAUCAAUUUAAUCACAUCUUGUUCCUUGAUACUUACUGGUUUUCUCUAAUGAUCAUUUUCAACAUACUAAAUAUGUUGACACACUCUGGCCAGAGAAUUCUAUGAUCAAGUGCCGAAAACCCAUCAAGAGAUGUGUUGUACAAAUUCUAUAUUGUUAAUCCAUAACUCCAAUACUCAUAAUUGCUCCCACCAAGAUACCGGGUAAUCUAGACUACAAGUACGUGUCAUGCCCAUUAGUAACUCAAAUGGAAUAACAAUUACAAUCAUGAAAUCAUAAUUAACUCAAGAUUAAGAUUACAGUAAAAUCAAUGCCUAUGAGAUUUAAUAAGUCUGACAGUUAUUACAAAGUUAAUUAAAUCUCACAUGUGAUCAUGUUCAAUGUAGUCGUACUACAUCAAUAAAUUCAUACAUGAUUAAGACAAAUCAUUCAAUGAAUUUAUUACAGUCUAUACCUAAAUAAAGUGCCCAAUUUUAUUUAUCAACUAAAUUUAUUUAAUCAUAAGAUAACUUAUAUUUAUGUCUUCUAUGAAUCCACAUGGUGAUCACAUAAAUACAUAUAAUAUGAUUAAAUUGACUUUAAUCCAAAUAUUAAUGUAAUUAAGAUAUUUGAAUAAAAUACCUCAUUUAUUUUAUUAAUCAGAAAAAAAAUAUUUAUUACAAUUAAAUAAACACAUAUGCUUUUAAAGAGCAUAUUUUCCCAACAAUCUCCCACUAGCUCUCAAAGCAUAUUUAGCAUUUCACGCAUGCCCAUGGAUUCUAAGUGCAAGUUAAAAGGUUUCCCAGGUAUGGCCUUAGUAAAAGGAUCUGCCAAGUUUUGCUGUGACGCAAUCUGAGUAACCUCCACAUCACUUCUCUGCACUAUAUCCCUUAUAAGAUGAUACUUCCUCUCAAUAUGUUUUUGUUUCUUGUGGUUCCUUGGUUCCUUAGAUUGAGCUACCGCACCAUUAUUAUCGCAAAAUAGUUUCAGGGGUGCAAUUACAGCAGGUACCACCUCAAGAUCUUGUAGGAACUUGCGGAGCCAUACAGCUUCUUUUGCAGCUUCGGAUGCAGCCACAUAUUCAGCUUCAGUUGUGGAGUCUGCGAUACAAGAUUGUUUCACACUCCUCCAACUAAUAGCUCCACUUCCCAAUGUAAACACAUAGCCGGAAGUUGAUUUUCUGGAAUCCUUAUCUGACAUAAAGUCAGAAUCAGUAUAACCUACUGGAAUGAGUUCAUCACCAGAAUACACAAGCAUAUAAUUUUUAGUUCUUUUCAAAUACUUCAUUAUAUUCUUGACCGCAGUCCAGUGUUCAGGUCCAGGAUUAGAUUGAUAUCUACUAACCAUCCCUACCGCAAAACAGAUGUCUGGCCUAGUGCAAAGCAUGGCAUACAUAAGACUUCCCACAGCUUCUGCAUAGGGAACUCGUCUCAUUCUCUGUAUCUCUUCAGAUGUUUUAGGUGAUUGAUCCUUAGAGAAUGUAAUUCCAUGUCUGAAUGGUAAUAAACCAGUCUUCGAAUUUUCCAUGCUAAAUCUAGCCAAUAUCUUAUCGAUAUAGACCGCUUGAGACAAUGCUAAAGUUUUAUUCUUCCGGUCUCGUAGUAAUUUAAUACCAAGAAUAUAACUUGCCUCUCCCAAGUCUUUCAUAUCAAAUUGUUUUGCUAACCAACUCUUUAUUGUAGUCAACACUCCUAUAUCGUUUCCAAUUAGGAGAAUAUCGUCUACAUAAAGAAUUAGGAAGGCUACAGAUUUUUCUUGAAUUUUUUUGUACACACAUGGUUCAUCAAUGUUCUGAAUGAAUCCAAACGAUUUUAUCGCUUGAUCAAAUCUGAUGUUCCAUGACCGGGAUGCUUGCUUCAAUUCAUAAAUGGAUCUCUGCAACUUACAUACCAUGUGUUCUUGGCCUUUUUGUAUAAAUCCAUCUGGUUGCUGCAUGUAGAUGUUUUCUUCAAGAUGCCCGUUAAGAAAGGCAGUCUUGACAUCCAUUUGCCAAAUUUCAUAAUCUAGCACUGCAGCAAUGGAGAGCAGAAUCCUGAUGGAUUUAAGCAUAGCAACCGGAGAAAAGGUUUCCUCAUAAUCGAUUCCCUCUUUUUGAGUAAACUCUUUGGCUACUAAUCUUACUUUAAAUGUUUCCACCCUUCCGUCUACUCCUCUUUUUCUCUUGUAAAUCUACUUGCACCCUAUGGGUUUUACCCCAUUUGGUGCCUCUACAAGUUCCCAGACUUUAUUGGAAUACAUAGAUUCCAUUUCUUGAUUCAUGACCAUUUUCCAAAAUUCAACAUCUCUAUCUAUUAGAGCUUCGUUGUAACUAGUGGGAUCUUGUACAUGUUCAUCUGAGAUAGCCGUAUAAGUUUCUCCCAAAAGCAUGUAUCUCGUAGGUAACCUAGUUACCCUCCUACUACGACGAGGUUCUAAAAGUGAUGGUUGUUCAGGGUUAAUCCUGUGUUGAUCAUCUGGUUGUUGUUGUUCUUCCUGUUCUGUAACAGGCGUUGAAAGCUGAGCAUCAACCUGAUCACCUGACAGUUCAAGUAUUACCUUACUCUUAGGUUUGAAGUUAUUCAUAUAGUCUUCCUCAAGGGAAGUGAAAUGUGUGCUCACGAUCACUUUCCUAUCUUGAGGACUAUAAAAUAAACCUCCCCUUGUUCCUUUGGGAUACCCCACAAACAUACAAACCUUAGAACGUGAAUCCAUUUUGUCUGCCUUUGGUUUCAGCACAUCUGCUGGUGAUCCCCAAAUACGGACAUGUCGUAAACUUGGUUUGCGACCUGACCAUAAUUCUAUUGGGGUUUUAGGCACUGACUUAGAUGGAACUAAGUUCAAAAGGUAAACUGCAGUUUCCAGUGCUAGUGCCCAAAAAGAGAUUGGUAAUGACGAAUAACUAAGCAUAGAUCUCACCAUAUCCAAAAGAGUUCUAUUUCUUCUUUCAGCUACCCCAUUUUGUUGUGGUGUUCCCGGGGCAGUCAACUGAGAUACAAUCCCAUUUUCAACCAGAUACUCUUUGAAAUCUCCUGAGAGAAAUUCACCACCUCGAUCAGAUCGAAGUUUCUUUAUGUUCUUAUCUAAUUGCUUUUCUGUCUCAGCCCUAUACUCUUUGAAAUCUCCUGAGAGAAAUUCACCACCUCGAUCAGAUCGAAGUUUCUUUAUGUUCUUAUCUAAUUGCUUUUCUGUCUCAGCCCUAUACUCUUUGAAUUUCUCAAGAACUUCAGACUUAUGACGCAUCAGAUAAACAUAAUCGUAUCUUGAGUAAUCAUCAGUGAAAGUGAUGAAAUACUUAUAACCUCCUUGAGCUUGUACAUUGAUUGGUCCACAUACAUUUGUAUGUACCAAUUCAAGUGGUACUGUUGCACGUACUCCUUUGGCCGAGAAUGGCCUUUUGGUCAUUUUUCCUUCUAAACAGGAUUCACAGAGUGGCAAUGAUUCAUUUUCUAAUGGAUCCAAGAGCCCAUCUUUGAUCAUUCUCUGUAUCCUAUUUUGGUUUAUAUGACCCAAGCGUAAAUGCCAGAGGUAACAUUGGUUGGAAGAAAUAUUUCUUUUCUUAGAUAAAUGUGUAUGCUCAUCAUUAUUUAUCACUGUGUCAUGCAUAGAAUGGAUCAUUGGACUUAAAUGAUAUAAAUUAUCUUCCAAUGUACCAGAACAAAUAAGUCUCUUAUUAUGAAAAAUAGAAACAGAGGAUCCAAAAUUUACAGUGUACCAUUGCUUUGACAAACAAGCUACUGAAAUUAAAUUCCUCUUAAUGUCUGAAACAUAAAGACAAUUAUUCAAAACUAAAGUCUCAUUAUUAAAAGAUAAUAAAACAGAUCCAGUCUUCACUGUUGACACGAACUGUCCUGUCCCUAACUGCAGCUUGACGCUUCCUUAACUUAUUUUCCUGAAACCAAUAAAGUGAAUUACAAAUAUGAUUAGUUGCUCCUGAAUCCAACACCCAAGUGUCAAUAGGAUUCUGAACUAAACAUGCCUCAAUUACAAAAAGAUUUCCCAUACCUGAUUUCACAAUCUUAGGGCAAUCAUUUUUCCAGUGACCUUUCUGUCCACACUUAAAGCAUUUGCCUUUCGGCUUGCCAUCUUGCUUGGUAGACGGUUUCUUUUUCCCAGCUUUCUUCUUACCUUUGCCUUUCGGCUUAGGCCUAGAAGAUGAACUUUUUUCAGUAAUAUUUAUGCUUCCCAGAGAUUUCUCAGCACGAUAGAUCUCUUCAGCAGAAUGGAGUUCGUUCAUCAAUUCAGUUAAGGUCAUGUUUCUUUUGUUCAUGUUAUAAUUGACCUUAAACUCCUUGAAUGUUUCUGGCAGAGAUUCUAGCACCAUGUCAAUCUUUGAGUUAUCAUCGAUUUGUGCUCCCUGAAUCUCAGCCUCGUUCAAAUAGUCCAUCAUUUUGAGGACAUGAUCACGAACUCUUGUGCCCUUCCCCAUUUUACUGUUCAUAAUUCCUUUCAGUGCUGCUUGUCUCGCUGAGCGAGUACUCUGCCCGAACAUCUGUUGGAGACUAUCCAUUAUUUCAGUGGCAGUCUCCAAGUUCUGAUAUUUGGUCUGCAGAAUAUUAAAAAUCGAGGCUAAAAUGUAGCACUUUGCCAUUUCAUUGGCCUUUUGCCAUUUCUCAUAACGUCUCCUCUGAUUUCUAUGAGCAUCAUCCGCUGGAACUGGAGGGCAUGGCUGGGUUAAGACAUAUUUAUAAUUUUCAGCAGUCAGGACAAUGAAUAGAUUUCUUUUCCAAUCUAUAUAGUUCUCUCCAGUGAGUUUGUUUUGACUCAGAAUAAUAGUACGUGGGCUCAGGGAAGACAUUUUCUGAAAAAUAAAACAUCUAUGCAUAAAUAAUUUGAACUAAUAUUCACAAUAAAUGACAAAAAUGCAUAAAACCAUAAACGCAUUUUAAUUUAUUGUAACGAUAAUCUAGUUCCGCUUUGACAAGCUAUCCGGUAGGGAAGUCAUGUCUAUACUUACUAGACCCAAUUACCCAUUGGAUUAUUUACUUUCAUGUAGAGACAUGAUAAAUAAUUAUCGUUAUCCUUUUUGGGCCUAAAUUUGUUAACAGAGCUUCGUUGGGAAGGUUAAUAACAAAUUUUAGUUGAGUGUAUGACCAUUGUUUCAAUCUACGUAUUUUUCAUAUCAAUAGUCACCGUUGGGGUGAACAAUCGAUUGAAAAAUAUUUCAAUUUUAUCUUUGAAGAAGUUUAUCAAAUAAAAUAUCUAAUAUAUAUACCCUCCGAAGGGAGCAUCACCGUAUCAUGAAGUCGAUGUAUAUAUAUAAUUUUAUUAUUGAACUAACAAUGGAGUCCGUGGGAAAAUUAUCUUGAAUUUUCCCUCUCCCACUCAAUAUUUUAAAAUUGGUUUUUCCUUUUUAAAACAUACAUAUUGUUAAUUGCAUGUUUCCUAUAAUAUUAUCUAGAUGAUAUCAAAUAUUAUUAAGCAUAUGCAAAUUUCAAACAAUAUAAUGAAAUUCAUUAUUAAUGAAUGACAUGUAUAAUUAUGCAUAGAGUGGCACUUCCUAUUCUAUAUGACAUGUUAUCAUGGUAUGUUAUCAUCCAAAACAUAACAUAUAGAAAAACAAUUAAAUAAUCUUAAUUCAUGGCUUUCCUAAUAAUGAAAAAAUACAUUAACCCUAAGCCUAAUCUUCAUUGGGCUUCUUGUCAAUGUCCAUCUUCCAUAAGCUUGUCUUUGUUAAUGGACUAGGGGAAAUUGGGCUUUUAAAUUUAUAAUUGGUCCAAUUUUAAUUUUUGAAAGGAAAUAAAUAAAUAAUUAAAAAAAAUUAUUAAAAUAAAACUUUUGGACCAAAAAUAAAUUUAAUGUAUUUAAUUUUGUCUAUGCAUUUUAAUCCAUUAAACCCAAAUUUUAAUUGUGCCUAAAUCUAGGAUUCUUUAAGCUCAAAACUGUUUUUGGACUUAAAUGCAAAAAAUUAAAACUUAUCAGCCCAAAGAAAAAAUCUAUAGAACUAUAGUGAUCGUAAUGAUAAAAACUAUUAAAACCCUAAAUCCAUCUUUUUCUCUUCCCAGCCGCCAUCACCACAAAAGGCAGUCACUGUUCAUAAUUUCCAGCCAUCUCCGACGCCGAGUUUGCUGCCGCCCUCACACCGGAAACAUACCAAUCACCUCCCUCGUGCUGCACGGAAAGCUCCUGCUCGCGCUGCCUGCUGCGUGUGCUGGCUGUUGCACACGAGCGUGCGCUAGCUGCUGCACGCGAGCGUGCGCUAGCUGCUGCACGCACAGCGUGCGUUGCUGGCUGCGCGAGCAGCACGCGUUGGCUGCUGGCUUGCAGCGCGCGCUGCUGGCAGCGUGUGCUGCGAGCCGCGAGCGCUUGCUGGCAGCGUGUGCUGCGAGCCGCGAGCGCUUGCUGGCAGCAUGUGCUGCUGGCCGCGCGCUGCUUGCUGCUGGUUGCCGCUGUCAUAAUUUUUGGCCUCCGUCGCUUUGAUCUUGAAAAUCCGAGAUUAAUUUACAAAUUUCCUAGGCCAAUUUUUGGCUUACAAAAAUUCUAUAACAGUAAAAUAAAUCAAGAGGGAAACAUGAUAAUAAAAAACCACCCCUCUUAUUACAGAUCCAAAAAAAAACUACAACGGAAAAUCUAAUCAUGAAUUAAGACAAACCAAAACAUGCUUUAUUUAUAUAUUAAACAAUUAAUAUAUAUCUGAAUAAAUUGUGCCACUCUAAUACAUAAAUUUCAAGAAUGAUUUCAUACGAAAUUCUUAUAUAUUAAUAUGAGAUGGGCUCUGAUACCAAUUGUUUGGGAAAAAUUAGGUUUUUAAAUUUUUUAUAAAACUUUUUGAAGAUCGCUCUCAUAUAAUAUAUAAGAAUUCGUAAUCUAGAAAUCGUACCUUGAAAAUCCGAGUUGGCUUUUCCCGUUGAAAUGAUUUAGGCUCCUAGAUCACAAUCUGCCACCAUCACUCCUGUUAGAUCACGAUCCGCCACCACCACGCUUGUUAGAUCACGAACUUUCACCAAUGAUCUUCCAGGUUAUGACUCAGGUUCGAUCUGCACUUGAAGUGUGGGCGCCUUUAUCACUACCAAAGCAACUAGCACGAGAAAAUUUUUUUCUCAACAAUAGAGAGAAAAAUCUUAUUCUCCGAUUUGUAUAAAGUGGCUUCACCUUUUUUCUUUUGAGAAAAUAAGCCUUAUAUAUCUCCCUUUAGUGAAAACUCUGGGCUCCAAAUAAUGCCCAAAAUAAAACUCACGUUACUUUUCAUUUAAUAGGGGACCCACCAUGUAAAAUAACAUAAGGCCCCUUACACAUAAGCUAAUUAAAUGGAGCCUCCCACUAAAUGAUAUAUUUAGGCUUUUAACCCAAAUAACUAGUUAUCUUGCUUAUUAGUCCAGUAGUGGUGCAGUCAAUUAAAUGAGCUAACCCGGGGAUCAUUUGGGAACAUACAAUAGUGGCUAUAACAAUUAGGCCUGUAAUUAAACUAGCCUAAUUAUUUAAUUCCAAAUCUACUCCACUAAAAGAUUGGAAUUGACCUCCAUAAUUGUAUGCUCGAAUAAUAAUUCGUCCCAAGCCACAUUGAUUUCUUUACUGCACAAUCCUUUGUACCACAUCGUUAAUUAAAUCGAUAUCUCAACUGUCCAAUCAAUUUAAUCACAUCUUGUUCCUUGAUACUUACUGGUUUUCUCUAAUGAUCAUUUUCAACAUACUAAAUAUGUUGACACACUCUGGCCAGAGAAUUCUAUGAUCAAGUGCCGAAAACCCAUCAAGAGAUGUGUUGUACAAAUUCUAUAUUGUUAAUCCAUAACUCCAAUACUCAUAAUUGCUCCCACCAAGAUACCGGGUAAUCUAGACUACAAGUACGUGUCAUGCCCAUUGGUAACUCAAAUGGAAUAACAAUUACAAUCAUGAAAUCAUAAUUAACUCAAGAUUAAGAUUACAGUAAAAUCAAUGCCUAUGAGAUUUAAUAAGUCUGACAGUUAUUACAAAGUUAAUUAAAUCUCACAUGUGAUCAUGUUCAAUGUAGUCGUACUACAUCAAUAAAUUCAUACAUGAUUAAGACAAAUCAUUCAAUGAAUUUAUUACAGUCUAUACCUAAAUAAAGUGCCCAAUUUUAUUUAUCAACUAAAUUUAUUUAAUCAUAAGAUAACUUAUAUUUAUGUCUUCUGUGAAUCCACAUGGUGAUCACAUAAAUACAUAUAAUAUGAUUAAAUGGACUUUAAUCCAAAUAUUAAUGUAAUUAAGAUAUUUGAAUAAAAUACCUCAUUUAUUUUAUUAAUCAGAAAAAAAAUAUUUAUUACAAUUAAAUAAACACAUAUGCUUUUAAAGAGCAUAUUUUCCCAACAGAUAGACCCACCAUGAAUGAUGUUGUAUCCAUGCUUACAAAUGAAGCUGCAGCAUUACUUCCUCCCAAACAACCGGCUUUUUCAUAUGUAAGAAAUACUGUGACUUCAACAUCGUCCACCAGCAAGGUAGCAGAUUGUUCAGUCAACCAAGUGACGAUUUCAAUUUUAGUAGCGGGCUAAUUUUUAUUUUAAUUCAUACACUUUGGGGUUAGGUUGUUCUAAUUACUCCUCUGAUCCAAUAUUUGAACUGAGUUUCCUAUUUUUGACUCGCUGGUACGUACCGACCAUUUCUCAGAGUUUAAAUUAAAGUUUAAAUUAAUUUUUUAUUUUUUAUUUUCUCCAAGAUUCAAACUUACUUAGGUGAUAAUGUAAAUAAGACUAUUUGAAAACUACUGUGCUAAACUUCUGAGACUAAUUAUUAGAUAUUAUAUGGAGUAAUGACCCUGAUUUUUAUUGGUUCAACGGGAUAUGAUACUAUCACGAGUCUGAUAUAUAAAAGGCCAUGCAUGGAACCAUUAUUUUCGUUCAAUGGGAUCAGAAUCAAGAAACUACGAACUUGGGGGAUAAAAUCAACAAUUUGUAAACCGACAGAGGGAGAGGAUCAAAACAUAUGUAAAGUCCAAGGAGAUUAACUAGAUUUCAAUUAACGCCCUUAUCUUGCUAUGAAUUAUAUAAUUCUAAUUCAAGAGAGACACUUUUAAAUAAAAAUUUAGACGUAAUAUUCUGACCAUUAUAUUAAAGCUAACCAAAAGUUGAUAUUGAAGCUAACAUGCCUUUUUUAAGUUUUAAAAACUAAAAAAUUAAUAUAAUAGAUCUCCAUAUAAUAAUAAAUUAUUAAUUAUUCGUCUCUCUUAAUAUAUUCCCUCUUUUAUCUCUUUUUUUUCAUCCGCUUACCCUUUUAUGUCUUGCCUACAUUAAUUAGUUUGAACUUUUGCAUGGCAUCAGUGCAAAAACUUAACCGACUUAUAGAGCAGAAAUGGACUUAAAUUUUAUUUUCACUCAUUGACUAUUUUCAUGCAAAAUUAUUUUGUCCAUCAAAAUUCGUAGCAGGACAUAUAUAUUCGUUUCUAUGUGUACAUAUUAAAAAUAAAAUAAAAUAAAAUAACAAGGAGAGAAAGGAGAUCACCAAAAUCACUAUCAAAACGAUAAUGUUUUUAUCACUGUUUUGUCACCGUUUUGCAUUUUGUUCAAAUAGCAGUACACAGAUUUUGAUUGUUUAGUGUUUGCUCCUAACUCAUUCCCUUAAAAAAUUAUCCUGAUUUCAAAAUCCAAUAAUUUAGGAUUCAUGUCUUUGUCCAACAACAUGUUACUAUUCUUUUCUUCUUUCAAAUCCAUGUGAGUAAUCAGCGCACGGUGCUUACAAGUCUUCCCUGCUGACCUGAAGUCCUCUUCGGCUGCUUUCUAAUUAAUUAACUUGGGCUACCUUUACUCUGUUAUAUUACAUAUACAUUGCAACUUGCAAGUUCCAUUCCUUCUCUGAGUUUCAUUUCAACUACUAUUAGACCCAAUCAUGAGAUCAAUUUUACUCUUAUCAUGGCUUUUCUCGAUACCCUUUUUAGCCAAUUUUUUGGGAUGCAUAUGGUUUGGGUGUCUGGCCAAUGUCAAGGCGAUAAAAAAUUGCUCCAUAUUUGACGUUGAAAUUAAUAGUUUAUGUUUUAUAUUGAAUUAUAAGUAAAUUACCUCUUGCAAAAAUAUGAAAUACUGAGGCUGACGAUGUGCCUUGAAGAGCGAUAUCAAGAUUAAUAUGGAAAAACACGUGCGAUCGGAUUCAAAAUUGCAAUGACACAAUCAAGAGCCAUCCAUUUUAUAUGACAAACCCAUUAAUUAUGAGGUAGAGAUUAAACAAAGUUAUAAUCAAUAGGAUUAAUUUUAUCUAUCAAAUCAAACUGACCACUUUUUAAAAAAUUGGAGACGAUUAUCAUUUUGUACAUAUGGGUCCAAUCCACAGAGAGCUUCGCCGAAGCUGAAAGCAGUGGAUAAAGUAGCGGAUACUCAUAAUCUGAUUGAUCUUUGAAUUUUCAGUCCAUGUCCUAUUGUGAUACUUACAUUACAUAUGAAAGAUCAACAAUACAUAUAGAGCUAGCUUUAAACACCAGUUGAACAGGGAGAUAUUUUAUUAAAAAGAUAUAAUGGAAUUAACAAAAUAGAUAUUAGAAGGAUUUUUGUUUUUGAAAAUUCUAGUCUAAAAGCUUUAUAAAUAAUUACUAUUGUGAAAAAAUAUGGAAUGUGGUUUUUUCUUAUAUUAAAAGUUGGAAGGUGGUCAAAGGGUAAAUUUCCCAAUAACUUUCCAACGUGUCUAUGAAUCUUGUGUCGGCUCUUCAUAAAACCUGUAAAACCACUAUCAAUUGUUAGCUCUCUCCUUACGGCUUUUACAAGUCUGCGGGUUCCACGAGCAAAUCAGCGUUCAGUUCGACGCGAGAUGAAUUGCAUUCAAUCAAUUUUUUUUUUUAUUAAACGCAAUAAAAUCACUAUCAAAUGUUAGCUGUAUCCUUACGAGACUUUUCGAAGUCUACGGGUCCCGCAAGCAAAUCAAAGUUGAGUUUGACACGAAAACGAAUUGCAUUCAAUCAAUUUUAAGAUUUUUUUUAAUAUAGUAGAUGAAUAGUGAAAGUCUAAAUUAAUUCUUUUUAUUAUACUUAUUUCAAGAUUCAAACUCACCUGAUUAAUUAAGUAAACCUGUUUAAUUAUUGGAUCUUAUAAUGAAUAAAGACCCUGAUUUUUAUUGGUUGAAUAAGGUUUGAUGCUAAUUAAUAUACUGGAAAAGGCAGAAAGAAUCCUAAUUAAUAUAAGCAGCGAUGGAUGGAGCCAUGAUUUUGGUUCAACGGGAUCAGAAUCAAGAAACUACGAACUUGGGGAGGCCAAGAUCAACAAUUUGUAAAACGAUGGAGUGAGAGGAUCAGAACAUAUAUAGAGAUUCCAAAGAAAUGGACUAAAUUUUAAUUAAUACCCUUAUCUUCCUAUGAAUUAUAUAAUUAUAAUAUUGUAAUAAUCACAUAUUUACUAGGUCCCAACGAUUCCAUUGGUGCUUGUUUCUAACUCAUUCCCUUCAAUUGUAAUUAAAAUUAUUUUAAUUAGUUUCCAAGUCUACGCCUAAAAGCUAAAAACCUUUAGUUUGCUUUGAAUAAUCCUAAAAGUUUUUGCUUUAAUUUUCUCUUAUGCUUAGUUUGGUAUAGCUUUCCAAAUAUAGUUUAUUCAAUAGAGUUUUUAUUAGUAAAGCUUUUAUAAACAGUGUUUUUAUAAAAAUAAUUUUAGUUAUUUGUUGUCAAUGGAAGCUUUUAUUAAAAAUUAAAAAAUUGUUUAAUAAGCACGUUUUUUAAAAUUAUAUUAUAAAAUGAAUGAAAUAAAAUUGUCGAAUAAAUAAAUGAUAUUUUAGAUGUUUUAAUAUUUUUAAAAAUAAUUUUUUGAACAUUUACUUCCAAAAACCCAAAUUUUGAGUUUUUACUAGUAGAGAAAAAAUAACUUAUAUAAUUUUCAAAAGCUCUACUAAAAAACAAAUCCAAACAAUAACAAUAAAUCUUAAAAGAGUUUAUAUAAUUAAAUAAGUAUUUAUAUCCAUUAGAUGAAGUAUGCCAAACAUACAGAAUGUCUUAUUUGUUUGAGAUUUCUUUUCUUCUCUCUGUUUGACAAAGUUAAUAAAAUAAUUAACAAGAAUUUCAAAUAAGGGCCUUUACCUUCUGUCAUUGAGACAAUAUUCACCUCCAAACUGGCGCCACCGUAGAUAUAUAUUGUACGGGCAAUAUUCAUAGAUGAUCUCUAAGAGUUCAUGCUAAAUUUUAGUUGCAAUAAGAUAUAGGCUAUUACCACCUUAAAAACUACUCUGAGCACUCUGGUUUUAAUAAAAUAAUUUAAUUACAAAAUUAAUCAUCAUAUAAAUUACUAUUAAGAUUUAUUUAUUAAUGAGCCAAUACAACUUAAUUACUUUAAAACUCAUAUAAUACACUCAUUAUUUAACAUAUAAUCUUUUAUAUCAAACAUAUCUUAAAAUACAAUUCAUUGAACAUGCAGCAAAUCAAUUUUUAAAUAAUUUUGAAGAUAAAAUAUUUGUAAGACUUACAUUUUUCUAGAAAUAAAAUAAACCGAAAUUAUUGCAAAGGUGUUCUUUUUUUGUCUUUAAUUUAAAAAUAAAUUAAUUAAAGCACUCUAAACCUAAUAACCUAGUCAGCAUCUUCUUCUUCUUCUUCUUCUUCUUCUUCUUCUUCUUCUUCUUUUUUGUGUCAGAUUACAAUUUGGUUUACAAUUAUUAUUGGGGUAGUGAAAGUCCAUACUUCUUGAUCUUAAAGAAGUUAUAGGUGCAAAAAUUGAUAUGGAAUACAUUCUUUAAUUAACGAAAACUAAUAAAUAAAAUUAUUUUAAAAAAUUUGCUUAAAACUUGACUUAAUUCCAUUGUUGCUAGUUAUGCUACAUUUAUUAAAACGAUUUUCUUUGAGUGUGCUGAAUAUUUUUAUUAGUGUUUUGAGUAAAUUAAUUUAAAUGAUUUAAGUAGGGAUACUUUUGGCAUCUUAAAGAGUGUACAAAAUAAAAAUUAAUUUUUCAAAUUUAGUAUUUGUGCAUAGAGUACCCUUUUUUUUUCAAAGAAGUUAUUUAUUCCUAAAAAUUAACAAGAUAUUUAUUCAUAGUAUACAAUGAAAGACAAUGCUAAAAGAAAUGAGCCCAACCAAGUUUUAAGCAACUUACUUCUAUAGUUUUAUGCGCGGGUCUCCCACUAACUUUUUAUUGUCGUCAUUUUGGACCUAUGGAAAUGGAAGAUUCCUGUAUUUGAUGCAGGCAUUUAACCAAAAGAUCCAAUUUUCUUUUCUUAUUUUUUUUCUCCCAAGUCUUGGCAACAUUAAUUGGUUUGAACUUUUGUAGUCUUCUAGCUCCCAGUUUAUGCGUUGGGGGUGUACCUUCUAGGGAACUUCGGCCAUCUUUUUCCUAUUAAAUGAAUUCAUCGCAACUCCCAAGUUUCAUCACUCCUCUACGAGUUUCAUUUCAGCAAUUAUUAAAACAAUGCGACCAAUUUUACUCUUAUCAUGGCCUUUCUUGAUACCCUUUUUAGCCAAUUAUUUUGGGAUCCAUAUGGUUUUGGUUUCUGGCCAAUGUCAGAGCGAUCAACAAUCGUUGUUACUCCAAAUGAAGAACAGUUUCAUAUUAAGCAAUCACAGUGUCUAUCCAUCUACAAAACUGAGUCAGUGGACUAGUCAUCAAAGCUCUGAUUGUUGUGAUUGGAACGGUGUAAGGUGCGAUGAGGCUGGUCAUGUUAUUGGUCUCGACUUGAGCAGGGAACCAAUCAUUGGCGGACUUGAGAAUGCGACUGGCCUUUUCAAUCUUCAAUAUCUGCAGAGCCUCAAUUUGGGUUUCACUUUCUUGGACGGAUUCCAAAUACCAUCCAGGUUGGGCAACCUGACAAAUUUGACUUAUCUGAAUCUUUCCCAGGGUGGCUUCGCAGGGAAGAUUCCCAUUGAGAUUUCAAGCUUGACAAGGUUGGUUACUCUUGAUUUGUCAGGCCGUGAGCGCUCAAGAGGAUUUUCCGGGAGAAUUGAGAUCCCAAACUUAAGCUUGUUUCUGCAGAACUUAACAGAGCUCAGAGAACUACAUCUGGAUCAAGUAGAUUUGUCCGCCUCCGGAACUGAAUGGUGCAAAGCUUUAUCAUUUCUGCCCAAUCUACAAGUUUUAAGCUUGUCCGGCUGUGAUCUUUCAGGUCCAAUCAAUCACUACCUGGCAAAGUUACGGUCACUCUCCGUGAUUCGUUUGCAUUACAAUUAUGGUCUAUCCUCAGGUGCAGAAUUUUUGGCCAAUCUGACGAAUUUGAAGGCCUUGGAUCUCAGCGAGUGUGGGUUGCAAGGGAAGUUUCCAGAAAAGAUAUUGCAGGUUCCUACCCUUGAGACUCUUGACUUGUCAAUUAACCAAUUGCUUCAGGGUUCUCUGCCAAACUUUCCUAAGAAUUCUUCUCUUCGGAACCUGAUCCUCUCUGGGACGGGAUUCUCAGGCACACUACCAGAUUCCAUUGGGAAUCUUGAAAAUUUGACAAGGGUAGAGGUUAGAAGGUGCAAUUUCACAGGGCCAAUUCCCCCUUCAAUGGCUAAUCUUACCCAAUUAUUUCACAUGGACUUCUCAUCUAACCAUUUCUCUGGUCGCAUCCCAUCACUUCACAAGUCAAGAAAUCUCAACUACUUAGACAUUUCGUUCAAUAAUUUAAGUGGUGGGAUCUCAUCCACCUUCUGGGAACAACUUGUAAAUCUCAAUCUUGUUCUCUUGUCGCACAAUUUACUUAAUGGAAGUAUUCCCAGAUCUCUGUUUCUACUUCCAAAUCUGGAGAUGCUUCGGCUCUCCAACAACCAGUUUGAGAACCAACUUCCUGAACUGUCAAAUGUGUCCUCGUCUGUAUUGUUUGACCUUGAUUUAAGCGGCAACAGAUUAGAAGGGCCUGUUCCCAUUUCAUUAUUCUUUGAACUCAGAAACCUUGAUACCCUCGAUCUUUCUUCCAAUAAGUUUAGCAGAUUGAGACUGGCUUCAAGCAAACCACGGGUCAUUCCUAUUCUAAAAAACCAAUCACAACUUUCUGUUUUGGACAUUUCAAAUAACCAAAUAUCUGGAGAAAUACCAAAUUGGAUUUGGGAAGUUGGUAGUGGCAAUCUUCGGUACUUAAAUCUUUCACACAAUCUCAUUGUGAGCUUGCAAGAACCUUACUCUAUUUCUGGUAUCCGCUUGCUUGACCUGCACUCCAACCAGCUCCGAGGAAAUAUCCCUCACAUGUCACCAAGUCCUUCCUACGUCGAUUACUCCAACAAUAAUUUUACUUCCAUCCCAGCUGACAUUGGUAAUUUCAUGUCUGAAACCGAAUACUUUUUCGCUGCAAACAAUAGUCUCGUUGGAGUCAUCCCGGAAUCUGUAUGCAAGGCUACCUAUUUUCAAGUUCUUGACUUAUCAAACAACAAUUUGAGUGGCACAAUUCCUACAUGUUUAAUCACCAAGAGUAGCAACACUCUAGGGGUUUUAAAUUUAGGGAGAAACAACCUCAAUGGCACUCUUUCUGACACAAUAUUUCCAGGAAAUUGUAGGUUGCAAAUUCUAGAUCUCAGUAGAAAUCAACUACAAGGAGUGGUACCAAAAUCUCUUGCCAAUUGCAAUAUGCUGCAGGUUUUAGACCUCAGGAAUAACCAUAUCAGUGAUAAUUUCCCUUGCUGGUUAAGGAAUGCUUCUCGUUUGCAAGUUCUAGUUUUGCGAUCAAACAACUUCUCCAGACACAUUAGUUGUCCAAGACAUAAUGUCUCCUGGCCUCUGCUUCAAAUAGUCGACUUAGCAUCCAAUAAAUUCAGCGGAAGACUAUCACAAAAAUGGUUACUUACGAUGGAGAAAAUGAUGGUUACUGAAACCAAAUCCGGAUCUGAGCUCAACCAUCUUGGAUAUGAUAUGUCGAGCAACCGAUUCUAUGAGGUUAGUGUAACAGUUACAGUAAAAAGUGUUGAGAUCAUGCUACUGAAGGUCCCAAAUAUAUUCACUUCCAUUGACUUUUCAAGCAACAAUUUCGAAGGGCCAAUACCAGAAGAAAUGGGACAAUUCAAAUCACUUUAUGCUCUGAACAUGUCGCACAAUGCUCUCACAGGCUCGAUACCAUCAUCUUUUGGGAACUUGAAACAGAUUGAGUCCUUGGACCUCUCAAUGAACAACCUCAGUGGAAAAAUUCCUUCCCAGCUUGCAAGCCUAAAUUUCCUAUCGGUGCUAAAUCUCUCGUACAAUAACUUAGUGGGAAAGAUUCCGACAAGUACUCAACUCCAAUCAUUUUCACCAACUUCUUAUGAAGGAAACAAAGGAUUGUACGGACCUCCUUUGACGAAUGAAAGCCAAACACGUCCUUCUGAGUUACCACCUUCACCGCCACCAGCUUCAAGCGAUGAAAUUGAUUGGUUCUUCAUAGCCAUGUCAAUUGGAUUUGCUGUAGGCUUCGGAGCAGUUGUUUCACCUCUAAUGUUUUCCGUGCAGGUAAACAAAUGGUAUAACGAUCUUAUCUACAAAUUUAUAUAUCGGCGAUUCCGUGUGUGAAGUGAUUUAAAUCUCUCCUUUUGAAUAAUCAUGUAAGCUAGCUUUUGCUUCUCUCUUCUGUCAUAGAUGUUUGAUAUUUCUUUUCUUCUCUGUUUGAUAGAGUUAAUAGCGUUGACAAUAAUUUGAAAUAAGGGCCUAUCUAUAACUGUUGCUGAGACAAUCUUUAUCUCAAAAUUGACUCCAAGUUAGAUCUAUAUUGGCGCAAUUCAUAAACAACAUGUCUUCGUGAGUCCAUACUAAAUUAAUAUGUGCAAGACUGUUUGCAAUUCCAACUCUAGGCUAGAUGCAUAGCGAUUCAUGAUCAUAUUCCAUUUGUUCACUUGAAAGUUUAAGAGUAGAAAGAAGAAUUUAGAAGAUAACUUUUUAAGAAAGGCGUGAGUUAUGAGCCCAUAUAAGAAAUGAGCCCAAAAAGGUUUUGGGCCCUUGUGGCCUGACCGAGUAGUUUCUUUAAAAUAUUAGGUUAUGUUGUGUUUAAUAGUUGAAAUGAGAGUAUAGAGUAGAGAGUAGAGAGUAUGAAUUCUUUCUACUUCAGUAUUUUUUUUUUGCUUAUUUAAAGAGGGGAGUAAAAGUCUCAUUUCAUGAAUCUCACUUAUUUUUAGAGUAAGGAGUGGGAUUCUCACUUCUAUAGGGGACAAUCCCACUUCUUCUUUUUUUACUCUUUCUUUAUCAAACAUAAUAAAAUUUAUAUUUAUUAAAAAUAAAAUAAUGUUACAUUAUUUAAAAAUAAUAACAUUAUUUUUAUUUAAAUAAUAUUAUUAUAUUUAAUUAAAAAUAAUAAUUUAUGUAAUCUAAGCUAAAAUUACUUAAAAGUAAUAUUAUUAUAUUCAUAGAGAAUUAAUAAUAUUACAAUAUACUAUCUUUAUUUGAAAAAUAAAAUUAUUAUAUUUAUUUAAUAUUGAAAAUUAAUAAUAAUGAAUAGUUUAUCCUAAGAAAAUAUUCAUUUUGUACUAUAUUAUUAAUAAUAAUGUUUCAUUUGUUUUGUUCUUAUAUUAAUUUUUAAUUUACAUAAUUAAAAUUAAAAUGAAUAAAAAAAUUAUGAUUUCCAUAAUUACGAAUAUUAAUAAUUAUUAGUAAUUUAUAUAAUUAAAAUUAAUAAUCAAUUAAAUAGUUUAUUUUAUAAAUAUAUUUUUUAUUCACUUGUAAUUAUAAACUACAAUCUUUUAAAUAAGGGUAAAAGUGUAAUUUAAAAUAAUUCACUCCCAAUCCAAAUAAGAGUAAACAUAUAAAUGAGAUUUUGACUCUUCUUCCAACGUAAAUAAACAAUCUAUUUCUACUCUCAAUCUCUGAAUUCCCAAACCACACCUUAGUUGAAUGGUUUUCAAAUAAUUUUUAUUCAAUUGUAACAUGGGGUUCAAAUAUUGAAAAAAUUAGAAUUAAAAAUUUCUAAAAAAAUUGAUUUGAACUUUUUCCACCACUCUACUUUUUAAAUAAAUGAAAAAGAAAAACUCUCAAAUAAACAAAUAAAAGCUUUUAUGUAUGUGCCCCAAUAACGUUUUUACUGUCAAUUAUUUUGAGUUAUUAAUGUUGUGCAAUUUUUGUAUUGACUAUUGUUGUACAUAAUUUAUCUAACUUUAACAGUAUUUUCUUGCCAACUUGCAUCUCAGCAGUUAGCAGAAUGGUGAACUACAACUCUCCCAAGUCCACUUAAACUUUUCUCUCCUAAUUAAAAAUUAUGUAAAGAUAUGAAUUUUCUUUAUUAAUUUUGUAGGUAAAACAAAUAGCCUUCCAAUAUUCGUGAGGUAGAAAUCUAGGUUGUUUUAUAAUAGAGUUGAUAUAGAUAGUCUAUCAGUAGACUCCUAAUUGUAUAAUACAUAUUAGUAAGGGGAAAAAGCACAUCUACACUUCUAAGAUUUGGGAAAUAGUCACCAAUACCCCUAAGUUUUCAUAAAAAAAACACCAAGAUACCUUUUGAUUAUUAUACUCUUUACCUCUAUUAUCCCCAAAAAUAGACUUUAAAUUUUUUAAUAAAUACAAAUAUUAUAUAAAUAAUGUAAUCUAUUAUCUAUACAGUAGACUAACAAUAUUAAAAUAUUUUAAUAUUUUAAUAAAUUUAAAUAUAUAAAUAAAUAUAUUUAUUUUAAUAAUAUGUUUUUAUUUAUUGUAGAAAUUUUAAAUAAUAUGAAUGGAUUGGAAAUCAAUCUUUGCAAUGAAAGAAAAGUUAGCCUUCACAUGGAAGGAAGGAUAACCUUUAUAAAGAAGGAAAAAGCAACCUUCACAUGGAAAGAAAGAUUAAACGAUGAAAGGGGGAGGGGGGAAGUAAUUAAUAGUUAAUAACAGUAAUUAACAAUUAGUAAUAGAAUUAAUAUUGUUGAUGCGAGAUUCUGGUUGUCCUCGUUCUACGACCAGGCUCUCUGCUCGAUCAACUUCACCACGACCAGGAGGUCUCCUCGUAAGGCUUCUUCUCCAGAGGUUCCUGCGCACACAGACAAGUCAGAGUACGCCGGUUGUUUUCCCGGCGCAAACCCUCCGACGCUCAAGUCAGAUAUGAAGGUUCGGGGAACGCUUACCACAGAUCUUAUGGCUUUUUCGUAGUUUUCUCUUCUAAUCUCAAAAUUGCUAACCCUUUUACCUUCGUUGGCUACCUUUUUAUAGGCUUCCUCUGAAUCCAGAUCUUCCGCAGUCCACGCCCGUCAUUCUCCCCACUCUCGGGUGUGGACGCCCCAUUACCGCCAUUGUCGACGAAUGGAGAUGGACCUCGUGCCUUAAUUCUCGGAUAGGAAUGCACGUCCUGCCAACUGUCGUUGACUGGGUCUCCUCGCCUCGAUGCCUAGCAGGAAUGACCUUAUGCCUCUAACAGGAGUUCGGCCUCACGAAUGGCAUAUUCGUGGACGAGCAGAAUACUCCUGCUCGUAUUCCCCUGCUACUUGGCUCUUGCAAGAUACCCCUGCUCGCAGAACCCUGCCACCAACCACCUGCUCAUCAUGUUUGGUCGCCUCGAUGUAUUUCCCUCAAACACCGGUCCCCCAGUUUCUGGUGUUGGGUAAUGUAAUGGACCAGCAGUAGAAACUCAACGGUUCUUGCUCGCGUGGGACUGGAAAAGGCUGCCAAGAGUCGUGUCGCAUUUAAUUGCGGACGAGGUGAUGUGGCAGAAAUCUGCCCCUCUAUUUGAAUUUCAAACCAAUGGUUACGAGGCCCUUGGGGUUUGGUACCGUUAAAUGCUGGCAACCUAAGAGUCCGUCCCCUUUAUGAAACCCACCUCCUUUCGUACAGCAAAUUCAUCAUCCACUCCGUCUCCGUCUCUGUCUCUCCGGCAAAGAAGUUCCGGCAUAAAGGCCUCCAUCUCUGUCUUUCACCGACUGAAACAUUACUUCAGGUACUUCUUCUAUCUCCUUGGUCUCGGAUAGUUGUAGAUAAUUUCUCUUCUCUUUUGUUCGGGUAGUAGUUGGUGGUGGCGUUGUGGUUAGCGCUUAGGGAAUGUCGAAAGGUAAAGAGAAGGUCGUUGAGGUUGACGACGAUGAGUUGGACUUCCUGCCUAGUCUGCUCACCGAUCCUGCUUUUGACCCCGGGAUCCCCUUAGAGCCCAUCAGAUCCAGUGUUGGUACUAGCGCUAGGAGGAUGUCUCCCCAAACAACCUCCUCGAGCGGAAAUAACGAUGAAGAAGGGUCUUCUGGAUCGGAGAACACCCCGAGUGAGGGUCGAGGAGAUGAUUCUGGUGAGGUGUCCCCAUCAGGAGCGUCGCGACCAGAAGAGAGGAGUACAAUAGGAGGUAGAGCCCUAUCGCGGGAUUACGCUAUUGAUUAUAUGACGUGCACGACCACGUUUGAUGAGCUCGAUGACCUCCGGCUUAGGUAUAGUAUUCCUGGUGAAAUACCUCUUAAGGUCCCAGGAAAGAAGGAUGCUCCUAGCUGGCCUCCUAGGGGAUAUGUUACCCUGUAUCUGGAUAGCUUUAAGUAUGGGCUGAGGUGUCCCUUGCAACCUUACUUUGCCGGGAUACUUAACGGGCUGAAUCUAUCUCCUGGUCAGUUGAACCCAAACGGUUGGAGAGUGCUCUCUGGUCUGUUCAUAUUGUGGGACAGAUGUUGCCAAAGCGAGCCCACAAUUGAUGAGGUGAAGCACCUGUACCAGCUAAAGAGCAGCCCCAAAGAUGUCGGCUGGUACUACUUCUAAUCUAGUACCAAGACCAGGAAACCUAUAACCGACCUCCCUACUGGUGGUGGUGGGAAUUGGAAGAGAAAGUUCUUUUUUGCUGGGGGCCUUGGGGUCAGGUUGCACAAAUGGACGGGAAGGAUUAUCGGGUCCCACCCCGUUUCACGGUCCCAGGUUGCCUGCUCGCUUUAGAUGUCCUGUAUCCAUAAUUGUUCUUGCUUUAUUGGCUUGUCUCUAACCAAGUGUCUGUUUGUGUUGUAGUUUCUUGGGGUGUUCAUUUCCCGCACCAACCUGGCCAGCUCAAACAGGUUGAGGCUGUGCUAGUCAAUUCCUGCCCGAGCCGAGAGCUGUUAACUACUUACAACUUGCUCGAGUCUCGCUUGAUACUACCUGGCCAUAAGAUGGAGGACGCUGUGAUUGGGGCUCUGAACAGGAAACGUUCUCGACCUCAAACCACGAAGAGGGACCAGAACAAGGACGCCCCUUCUGCAAAGCGGGCCAACAUCGUGCAGCAAGUCUCUCCCUUGAAGACUUUACCUCCUGCUCCUGCCAAAAUUGGGGAGACUAGUGGAGCAGCCACGGAUCCUGCUUCCUCUUCGCCUCCUGUCGGGCCUCGAUCUCGCUUACCUGACAGCCGAGCAGAACACUUGGUCCCCUACCUUAAUGAGUUCUCUAAACUCGUGAGCAAGAAGGACCUGGAGGACUUUGACGGCUGCACCUUGGGUGAGCUGGUGGGGGCCAUGCAGUAUAGCGCUUUCCACCUCAGCUGCAUGACCACCUAUUAUAAGGCUAAGGUUAGCCGCAACGACCGGAAGAUGAAGGAGGAUAUUCAAUCGGCGACGACCAGAGCUGACGUUGCCGAGAAGAAAGCAGGGGAGCUGAAUCUCGAGAAUCUGAAGCUGAUAGAGCAAGAAUCACUUGCUCAAGCAAAGGCCAUUACCCUCGAGGAGGAGCUUACCAAGGUCAAGGAGGAUCUGCAAAGGCAGAAGGCUAUGUAUGACGCCCAGCUCGAAUCUCUCCGCGACUCCAACCGAGCUCAGGUCGAGAACUUGGAGAGGGAGGCCGAGAACCAGUACGACCAGGGACUUCGGCAUUCCUAUCGUUGCAUCAUGGCUGUCCUCGGGAAGCAACACCCUGAUCUGAAGAUGGAUGACCUUGCAGCUGGUGUUGCUCAACAUAUGGACGAGGAGGCGGCCAAGGAAGAUGCUGAAGGGGUAGAGCCGAUCGUGAUUGAGGAGGAAAACUCUCCUCCUCGUGUAGUCCCUGCUGAUGUUGGCGAGGCAAGCACCCCUCCGGACGCAACUGGUGAUACCCCCCUGCACCUGAGGAGGUCCAGCCAACAGAUGCUGCUCGGCUUACUGAUCCACCAUCUUCUUGAUAUAUUUCUUGUAUUGUAAUGAACAAUUUUUGUGACGAUUAUCUCUUCUGUUAAUUACUAACAAUUAAUAAAGAUGUUUUUGAUUACUUUCUCGUGUUGUAAUCAUCACUUAUUUUCCGUUUGGGAAUCUGCUCGUCUUUGUCUGGUCGAGCAGGUUCUGGCUUGGCAUAUGGUUUUGCCACAUGCCUUAGAAAAUUCUUCGAUGCUUGAGAUUCUGCUCGCCUUCGCGCGGUCGAGCAGACCCUGGCACGCUUGGCUUCUGUCUCGCCAUAAACAGGCUUUGAGACUUGACGAGCCUUUGCAUGCCUUGGAAAAUUUUUCGAUGCUUGGGGAUUCUGCUCGCCUUUGCGUGGUCGAGCAGAUCCUGGCACGCUUGGCUUCUGUCUCUCCAUAAACAGGCUUUGAGACUUGACGAGCCUUUGUAUGCCUUGGAAAAUUUUUCGAUGCUUGGGGAUUCUGCUCGCCUUCGCGUGGUCGAGCAGAUCCUGGCACGCUUGGCUUCUGUCUCGCCAUAAACAGGCUUUGAGACUUGACGAGCCUUUGCAUGCCUUGGAAAAUUUUUCGAUGCUUGGGGAUUCUGCUCGCCUUCGCGUGGUCGAGCAGAUCCUGGCACACUUGGCUUCUGUCUCGCCACAAACAGGCUUUGAGACUUGACGAGCCUUUGCAUGCCUUAGGUAAUCUCUGCAAUGAUUGGGAGUCUGCUCGCCUUCUCGUGGUCGAGCAGAUCCUGGCACGCUUGGCUUCUGGUCUCGCCAUAAACAGGCUUUGAGACUUGACGAGCCUUUGCAUGCCUUAGGUAAUCUCUGCAAUGAUUGGGAGUUUGCUCGCCUUCUCGUGGUCGAGCAGAUCCUGGCACGCUUGGCUUCUGGUCUCGCCAUAAACAGGCUUUGAGACUUGAUGAGCCUUUGCAUGCCUUGGAAAAUUUUUCGAUGCUUGGGGAUUCUGCUCGCCUUCGCGUGGUCGAGCAGAUCCUGGCACGCUUGGCUUCUGUCUCGCCAUAAAUAGGCUUUGAGACUUGACGUGCCUUUGCAUGCCUUAGGUAAUCUCUGCAAUGAUUGGGAGUCUGCUCGCCUUCUCGUGGUCGAGCAGAUCCUGGCACGCUUGGCUUCUGGUCUCGCCAUAAACAGGCUUUGAGACUUGAUGAGCUUUUGCAUGCCUUGGAAAAUUUUUCGAUGCUUGGGGAUUCUGCUCGCCUUCGCGUGGUCGAGCAGAUCCUGGCACGCUUGGCUUCUGUCUCGCCAUAAACAGGCUUUGAGACUUGACGAGCCUUUGCAUGCCUUAGAUAAUCUCUGCAAUGAUUGGGAGUCUGCUCGCCUUCUCGUGGUCGAGCAGAUCCUGGCACGCUUGGCUUUUGGUCUCGCCAUAAAUAGGCUUUGAGACUUGAUGAGCCUUUGCAUGCCUUUGAUAAUUUCUUGAAUGCUUUGGAGUCUGCUCGCCUUCUCGUGGUCGAGCAUAUCCUGGCACGCUUGGCUUCUGUCUCGCCAUAAAGCAGGCUUUGAGACUUGCUGAGCCUUUGCAUGCCUUUGAUUCUUCAAGGAUUGGGAUUCUGCUCGCCUUCUCGUGGUCGAGCAGAUCCUGGCACGCUUGGCUUCUGUCUCGCCAUAAAACAGGCUUUGAGACUUUGAUGAGCCUUUGCAUGCCUUUGAUUCUUCAAGGAUUGGGAUUCUGCUCGCCUUCUCGUGGUCGAGCAGAUCCUGGCACGCUUGGCUUCUGUCUCGCCAUAAAACAGGCUUUGAGACUUUGAUGAGCCUUUGCAUGCCUUUGGUUCUUCAAGGAUUGGGAUUCUGCUCGCCUUCUCGUGGUCGAGCAAAUCCCGGCACGCUUGGCUUCUGUCUCGCCAUAAAACAGGCUUUGAGACUUUGAUGAGCCUUUGCAUGCCUUUGAUUCUUCAAGGAUUGGGAUUCUGCUCGCCUUCUCGUGGUCGAGCAGAUCCUGGCACGCUUGGCUUCUGUCUCGCCAUAAAACAGGCUUUGAGACUUUGAUGAGCCUUUGCAUGCCUUUGGAAAUUUUCCCAGUUUCAAGCGAAUGAAAUUCCUCGACGUUCCAUUAAUGGCAGGAUUCAACUUACAUGAAAUUGUUUAGACAUAAAGCGUAAAAGAUAAACGAUAAUGAACAUGAGCAGAAAUAGCUUUCGAAUGUGAACAAGUCUUACUGGAAGUAUUUUCGGAGGUGUGCUGCGUUCCAUGGGCGUUUCACCUCGUGGCCGUCCGUGCGAACCAGCUUGUAAGCUCCGGGUCCCACUAUCUGCUUGACUCUAUAUGGCCCUUCCCAAUUCGGUCCCAGCACUCCUUGAGUCGAAUCUUUGGUGCUCUGAUUCACUCUUCUCAGUACCCAAUCUCCGACCCUGAAUUGCCGUACAUUCACCUUCUGGUUAUAAUAGCGAGCAACCCUUUGCUGGUAAAUGGCUGAUCGACCAGCUGCUUGCUCCCUCUUCUCCGUUAGCAGAUCAAGAUUCAAACAUAUCUGCUCGUCAUUCUCCUGCUCAUUGAAAUGGUCUGUCCGGUGCGUGGUCGUUCCUAUCUCAGCUGGUACGACCGCUUCAUGUCCGAAAGCCAGGGCGAACGGUGUCUCCCCAGUUGCUGUUUUGUGGGUUGUCCUGUAUGCCCAUAGGACACCUGACAGCUCAUCAACCCAUGUGCCCUUUUUUGCUCCAAGCCUGGUUUUCAAAAGUCUCUUGAUGGUCUUGUUGGCUGCUUCUACUUGUCCAUUCGAUUGAGGGUGAGCAGGCGAGCAAUACUUCAGCUCUAUCCCGAGGUUCUGGCAGAAAUCCCUGAAGCUGUGAUUAUCGAACUGCCUGCCAUUAUCCGUUACCAAGGCAUAAGGGAUCCCGUAUCGACAGACCAGGUUUCUCCACACAAAGUCUGUCGUUUUCUUCUCUGUAAUCCUGCUAAGGGCUUCGACCUCUAUCCACUUCGUGAAGUAAUCUAUAGCAACUAUUGCAUGCGUUGCUGCUCCUCGUCCCUUUGGCAGCGGGCCGAUCAGAUCAAUUCCCCAUUGAGCAAAUGGCCAAGGGGAGGCCAUAGAGGUGAGCUUCUCUGGUGGUUGGUUGGGGAAACUUGCAAAACUCUGGCAGCUUACACAGCUCCUGGUCUUCUCAUGUUCAUCCUGGUGCAUUGUCGGCCAGAAAUAUCCCUGCCUUAGAACCUUGUGGGCCAGGGAUCUCCCACCAGAAUGAUUCCCGCAAAUUCCUUCAUGUACUUCUCUCAGUACGUAAUCCGCGUCGUCCUCAUCCAAACAUCGAAGGAAAGGUAGUGUAUAUCCUCGCCGAUACAAUAUCCCAUCAAUCAUCGUGUAUCUCGAGGCCUGGGCUCUAAUCUUCCGAGCUUGCAGCUUAUCUGGUGGUAAUACCCCGUCUCUAAGGUAUGAAACUAUCGGGUCCAUCCACGAGCAUUUUUGUUCUAUCCGCAGCACCCCCGAAUUCGGCUCGAUGCUCGGGCUGGACUUCACCUCCAGAGGGAUCGACUUUGGCAUUUUUGGGUCUGCUACCGCUGCCAUCCUGGCCAGAAUAUCUGCUCGACUAUUCUGCUCCAUUGGGAUUUGUACUACCUCCACCGCUUUGAAUUUUCCCAUCAUCUGCCUGACUAUCUUCAAGUACUGCUCCAUCUUCUCCUCUCUUGGUUGGAAUCUUUCACUGACAUGAUUCGCAACCAGCUGGAAAUCAGUUCUGAUCUUCACUCUAUCUGCUCUCACGGCCUUAGCCAGUUCUAAUCCUGCUAUCAAGGCUUCAUACUCUGCCUGGUUAUUUGUUGCUGCGAAUUCUAACUUUACAGCAUAAGAGAUCUCCUCCCCCUCCGGGCCUUCCAAUACAAUCCCUACUCCUGAUCCCUGCUCCCCUGAUGACCCAUCUACAGACAUUUGCCAUACUUGAGCUUCGCCACUGUCUGCAAUUACAUCUUGUUGGUCUAAACAUACUUCAGGCUCCGUGAAUUCUGCUACGAAAUCGGCCAUUGCCUGAGCCCUCAUCGCUGCUCGGGGUUUGUAGUCUAUGUCGAACUCGCUCAGCUCUAUAGCCCACUUGACGAGCCGACCAGAAGCAUCGGGCUUGUGCAGAGUUUGACGCAAUGGCUGGUUUGUUAUAACCGAGACUGGAAAUGCCUGAAAAUAUGGCCUCAACUUCCGAGCAGCAACCACAAGGGCAAGUGCCCAUUUCUCCAACGGUGGGUACCUGGUCUCAGCGUCGAGCAGGGCCUUGCUGGUGUAGUAUAUUGGAUACUGAACUCCUUCUUCCUCUCUCACCAGAACAGAACUGGCGGCCCGAUCCGAUACCGCCAGAUACAAAAAUAACUUGUCCCCAUCCCUCGGUGUGGAUAGCAGAGGGGCUUGCUGUAAAUACUGCUUCAAGUUCUGAAAGGCUUCCUCGCAUUCCGGGGUCCACUCUGUUUUCUUUCCCCUCCUUAUCACUUGAAAGAAUGGUUGACACUUAUCUGUAGCCUUGGAUAUGAAUCGGCUCAAUGCCGCCAAUCUCCCCGUAAGGUUUUGUAUUUCCUUCAGGUUACGAGGAGACCUCAUCUGCACAAUCGCCUGGAUCUUCUCGGGAUUUGCUUCGAUCCCCUGAUGACUCACCAUGAAUCCAAGGAACUUCCCCGACUCGACCCCAAAAGCACAUUUCUCUGGGUUGAGUUUCAUCUUAUACUUCCUCAAAAGCUCGAAUGUCUCCUCGAGGUGUCUGACAUGUUCCUUCGGGAUUUUGGACUUGGUGAUCAUGUCAUCCACGUACACCUCCAUGGUUUUCCCAAUCAACGGCUUAAAGACUUUGUUCACCAGCCUCUGAUAGGUGGCCCCAGCAUUUUUGAGACCAAAUGGCAUUACCCUAUAACAGAACAAACCCUGGUUAGUGAUGAAAGCCAUGCUCUCCUCGUCCUGCUCGUACAUGGGGAUCUGGUUGUAUCCCGAGAACGCGUCCAUGAAGCUAAGCAGAGCGUGUCCAGCCGUUGAAUCUACUAGCUGAUCGAUCUUUGGUAAAGGGAAGCUGUCCUUUGGGCUCGCCUUAUUGAGGUCUGUGAAAUCCACACACAUCCUCCACUUGCCAUUCGCUUUCUUUACCAACACCACAUUCGAUAUCCAUUCAGGGUAAUUGACUUCCCGAAUGAACCCUGCUCUCAAGAGCUUCUCCACCUCGCCAUUUAUAGCCUCAUACCUCUCCUGGUUAAAGCACCUCCUCUUCUGCCUUACUGCCCGAGCACCUUUCUUUAUUGCCAGCUUAUGACAUGCUACCUCAGGGUCAAUCCCUGGCAUGUCUUCAUGUGUCCAAGCAAACACAUCUGCAUGAGCCUGUAAGCAUUUCACCAACUCCUGCUUUUACUCUCCCUUAAGUCUCGACCCGAUUCUGAUUGUCUUUCCCGGAUUCUCUGGUCCCAGGCUUACAGUUUCCAGAUCCUCUACAGGUUCUUGUCUGCCAUUCUUGUUUUCCACUCGGGUAUCGAGGGAUGUUAUCUGCAUUGCUUCCCCUGUUUCCAUCGCUUUUCACUUGCUUUACUCCCCUUCUUGCUAUCAACAGAAGCUUUUUGAUCAGUUCCCCACAGACGGCGCCAAAAUGUUGAUGCGAGAUUCUGGUUGUCCUCGUUCUACGACCAGGCUCUCUGCUCGAUCAACUUCACCACGACCAGGAGGUCUCCUCGUAAGGCUUCUUCUCCAGAGGUUCCUGCGCACACAGACAAGUCAGAGUACGCCGGUUGUUUUCCCGGCGCAAACCCUCUGACGCUCAAGUCAGAUAUGAAGGUUCGGGGAACGCUUGCCACAGAUCUUAUGGCUUUUUCGUAGUUUUCUCUUCUAAUCUCAAAAUUGCUAACCUUUUUACCUUCGUUGGCUACCUUUUUAUAGGCUUCCUCUGAAUCCAGAUCUUCCGCAGUCCACGCCCGUCAUUCUCCCCACUCUCGGGUGUGGACGCCCCAUUACCGCCAUUGUCGACGAAUGGAGAUGGACCUCGUGCCUUAAUUCUCGGAUAGGAAUGCACGUCCUGCCAACUGUCGUUGACUGGGUCUCCUCGCCUCGAUGCCUAGCAGGAAUGACCUUAUGCCUCUAACAGGAGUUCGGCCUCACGAAUGGCAUAUUCGUGGACGAGCAGAAUACUCCUGCUCGUAUUCCCCUGCUACUUGGCUCUUGCAGGAUACCCCUGCUCGUAGAACCCUGCCACCAACCACCUACUCAUCAUGUUUGGUCGCCUCGAUGUAUUUCCCUCAAACAAAUAUAAUAAAAUUACAUGAAAUUAAAAUACAAUUGAAUAUAAACAAAUACAAUAUCAAUUAUCACAAUGCAACUAAUAAGUGUUUGUUUGCUAUAACUUAUCUAGUAGUUAUAAGUCUUAUUUAAUCUCAUAAGUUUCUAUCAAAAUUUUUAUUAUUGUUUGAUUUUUUUUAAUAGAACUUUUGAUUAUUAAAUAAGAUAUUUUAUCCCUAUUACUAAAAGCUUAAAUUUUGGGUUUUUGAAAGUAAAGGUUGAAAAGUUUUUUUAAAAUGUUAAAAUGUUUAAAAUAUUAUUUACUUAUUUGACAUUUUUAUUUUAAUAUUUUCAUAACAUAACUUUAAACAACUUACAUAUUAAAAUAAUUUUUAACUUUUAAUUAAACCUUUCACUGACAACUAAACAAUUAAAACUUUUAAAUAAAAACUUCAUUUAUAAAAACUCAACUAAUAAAAAACUUUACUUGAGUGUGCUCAAUUUAAAAAUGGAACCUAAAGACUAGAAUUUUGUUUUUUAAUAUUUAAUUGUCGGGCUGAAGGAUGGGACUCCCUAGCCCGAGCCCGAUCCGGCUGAAGUUCGAACACAUUAGAUCCUAACCCGACCCGAAGCAUAGUAGUCGAGCCAAAGCCCAGCUGGAGGGGGCGCUCACUUUUCUGCCAUUCCUAGCGGCGACUCGACUCAAGCCCUGGCUGGCUGGUCGUAGUUAUUGCGCAGUUCAGUUGACAGGCGUUGAUACAACGCUACGCGGGGUAUGCGCAGAGCCUUAACCUACACCCACUACAUUUCUCCUCUGUCCUCUCUAUAACUAGCUUUUCUCUUUUGCUUUUCGUUUCCCUCUUCUUUCAAAAUCAUCACCGAAUCAACAAAUAAUCUUUCACUCUGUCACUCACUAACAAAAAAUCAGGAAACGAUCAAUAAUUACCAAGUUAAUAGCAAAUUAACUGAACUGCUUCAAGCAAUAAUGGCUACUUUCGGUGCUGCUGCCGUUGCCACCAAUCAAAACCCUAACAAUUCCAUCGAGGUAUACUUUAUUUAUUUAUUUUCUUUUUUCUUUUUUCUUUUUUCUUUCCGAUAAUCUUUAAAAAUUAUUUACCUUUAAAUUUUCUUGUCGGUUUCUUGUGUAUGAUGAACUUGGCGACUGUUGAAUUAAUGCUUAUGAUGAUGUUGUAAGGAUUAAGUAGAAAGAUAUAUAAAUUAUUUAUUAUAUAUUUUUGUCAGGGUUAAGCUUAAUUGCUUGUGUUAAUGUAAAAAUUAAUUCUACAUUUUCGGAUAAAGAUUUUUUUUUAAUGCUAAAUAUGUAUGCGAAGCUAUGAUCAUUUGUUUGCUUGCUUUCUUGCUGAACGGAUUGUUGAAAGCGAACCAAUUGCUAAGCUUGUGAAUGUGUUGGAGUUUCAGUGUAAAAGAACAGUAGUUAGUAAGUGAAUCACACUGUUAAGUUUAUAUUAGGUUAAUGAAGAUAAGUUUUCUACAAUUGGUCAUGUAAAAGUUUGAUGCACCAAAUUUUCAAAUGAGAUAAAUUGUUUCUGGUCAUAGGUUCCAAAUUUAUACGCUAGAUGUUGAUAUCAUGUAGGUGUAUGUGAAGUGUAGUUCUCUCAUUGAAGCUUCGUUUGAUACUUGAGUAAGCUUGGUUGAUCUUUUAAUAUAAAGAUGCUGUUAGAAAAGUAGUAUUUACGUGAAAUUUUUCAAUGGCAGGUGUCUCAACCUCCCAAUGAUUCUGUUUCAAGCCUUUGUUUCAGUCCCAAGGCCAAUAUCUUGGUUGCAACCUCAUGGGAUAAUCAGGUUUGUCCAAUCGGGUUCUGUUCUUUUUUUAUACCUUUAGUUAUGCCUUUCUGUUUGUUGGUUAACAUCCUUGAUAUUCCCAUUCGUCUUGUUUGAAUGCUUUCACAGGUAAGGUGUUGGGAAAUUUCACACAGUGGAACUGCUGUGGCCAGUGUGCCCAAGGCAUCAAUUUCGCAUGACCAUCCGGUAAUCUAAAGCAAGAUUUGUGGUAGUUAGAAUAACAUACUGUUGAAUUUGUGAUUGCUGAUAAUUUAACCUUUUUCUUAUCUUUGAAAUUUGAAGGUCCUAUGCUCAACAUGAAAGGAUGAUGGAACUACUGUCUUCUCUGGAGGAUGUGACAAGCAGGUCAAGAUGUGGCCUUUGCUCUCUGGUGGUCGGUCAGCCAGUGACUGUUGCUAUGCAUGAUGCGCCAAUUAAGGAGGUUACUUGGAUUCCAGAGAUGAAUCUACUUGCUACAGGAAGCUGGGACAAGACAUUGAAGUAAGAUUUUUUCGCUUCUUUUUAUUUAAAAUUGCAGUCUAUGUCGCAUUUUGGUUGGGGCAGUAAAUUGGUUUUAUAAUUAUAAGUUCAUCUGUUAGAAGCCUUCGUUGUGCAGUUGAGUGUAAUGACCUUGCCAAGUGGGACAAUAUGUGCAUGUGGAUAGUUAAGUGGUCAGUUCACAUGACCUCGAACAGAAGAGUGACCAUGUUGUGUUCAGAUGAACGAAUGGAACUGUUGUGCGUGUUUUGCUCUGCCACAGUAACUUGUACUGACAAUUACUGAUGCUCAAAGUGGAUAUGAGCUGGCAGGGGCUAUGGAUUCUCAAAUUGUCAGCACUCUUUGUCCAUACUUAUAUAAUUUAGGUGUUGUUUAAAGAGAAACAUCCAUGAUGAGUGCUUUAAUAUUGUAGGCUUUUCUCUUUCUUUCUUCUCUAAGUCGUGGGUGUCAUGCUCUUUUCUUUCUCCUUUUGGGUUUACAGUAUAUCCUUUCGUUUUAUUUGGUAUCUGAUGUGGUCAACAGUUUACUGUGUCUCCAUGUGGUGCCUUGUGUUAUCUGUAAGCACUUUGUCCGAUUUUUUGUGUAGUUGAUCAGUCACUUAUACUCUCUUGAUGUUCUUGUAUUUUGAGUUCCUUACCCUCUUAAUGUUGCAAUAUGUAAUUAGGUACUAGGAUACAAGGCAGCCAAAUCCUGUUCACACUCAACAGCUGCCUGAUCGCUGCCAUGCAUUUACGGUGAGAUAUCAACUUAUGGUUGUUGGCACUGCAGAUAGAAAUCUAGUUGUCUUCAACUUGCAGAAUCCUCAGGUAUUGUUUUUUAUUCCAUGAGAGCAUUGAUUUAUGUGUAAGUUAAAUGGGCAAAUUUAGUGCAGGCAGCUGAAGCAUGUGUUUUGUGUGGCAGCAGCUGCUGCGACAUUAGUAGUUGGCUGACUAAUUUAUAAAAAACUAUUUGUGAUUCUAUCAUUAUUGAUGAAUUAAUAAAGUGAAUUAGUUUAUCUUUUAGUGGUUUUGUGCAUUUUAAUGUGUAAAUAGUGUUACUCAAAAACAAAUAUGACUAGUAGAAAACUGGAAAUAUAUAUAUAAAGUGUACUAGAGAUGAUAUAAUUUUACUAUUUUCAAAAAAAAAAAAAAAAAAAAAAAAAAAUAGUAUCUAUGGCAGCUUGUGCUUGUAGCCCAGUGGUAUGAGGCUCAUUCUCUUCAAUAUUAGUGAGAGCAGAUAUUUGAGCUUAUUACUUCUCUAGAGUCCUAUAAAUUUUAGUGAUUUCAAAUUGUAUAUAUCUCUAAAAAAUAAAAAUAAAAAUAAAAAAGAUUUCUCAGAAAAAAGAAAAGAAAAAAAAAAAGAAACUCUAGUACAUAAGUUUGCAUUGUGUUGUUAGACUUGGAAAAGUCUCGACAGUGAUUGGAUAGAUUUUUAUUUGUUUAACAAUUAAAGAUGUUACUUCUGAUAAUAAAACACUCAUUGAUUUAGAAAAAUUAAUCAUUCGAUCAUCGAUCUCAAUGGAUCGCUUUGCAAUCUUCAUUAUUCUUGUUUCCUUGCUGCUGUCUUCUUGAUACUAGCACCACCUUCUCAUUUACAUAUCUUAACUAAAGCUUUAAUUUCUUUUAGUUUCUCCAUCAUUCAGGGGAGGAUUUGAUGAUUUGCUAUUGUGUGAGGAGAAGCCAAGAAGCAGAUGUAGAGGGUUGUUAAUUUUGGGGAUAAUUAUUUUUCAGUGGGGACAAUUUUAUAAAAAGAAUUUAAUAAUGAAUCAAUUUUAUAAAUUGUCUUUUGUGGUGGGCACGAACUGACAUUUUACAACUCAAAAUAUUAGCGAAAGUUCGAAACGAUUUUCUUCUCUCUCAAAUCUUGCUCGCCGCUCUCAAUUGAAAAAACAGAGCCCUCUGCUCUCACUUCUCAGCUCUUUUUUGGUACUCCAUUGAAAUUCAUAAAAUAAUGAUAAUGAGACUAUUAUUGAAUAUUUUUAAAAUAUGAAAAAGCACUGGGAACAAGUGUGAGAAUCUUUUUACUAAUAUCUAGGGGUGGGCAAACGGUUCGGUUUUUGCCGAACCGAACCGAAAAAUUCGGUUCGGUUCGGUUCGGUUCUAUGAGCAAAAACCGAAUGGUUUAAAAAAUACUGAACCAAUUGGUUUUAAUUCGGUUCGGUUCAAAACCGAAUUGAACCGAAAAACCGAUCGGUUCGGUUUAAUUCAAUUACAAAUAUUUAAAAUCAAAUUUCAAUUUCAAUCACAAAAUUCAAAUCCCUAAAGCUAAAUCGCGAUUGCAUACUGCCCUUGCCUCUCUCCCUCGCGCCUCUCCCUCGCGUCUCUUUCUCCUCACGGCGGAGCUCCACAACGGCGGCACCACCCCUUAGCAGUAUCUUCCCCCUCUGCGCGUGCAUGGUGCGGUUCGGCGCAGCCCCUCUCGGUCUCUUCCUCGCGUCUCUUCCUCGUCUCACACCACGGUCAGCGCCUAACACAGCCCCUUAGUAGCAGCACAGCCCCUCCCCUCAAGUACAGCGACGCCGUCGUUAACCCUCAGCUUGGUUGCUGCAGCAUCUGGAAGGUACAUAUGCUCCUUGGUCCAAACCUCCUGGCUCCUGCCAUCAGCCCGCGUCUUUAAUCUUCACUGCUGCAGGUUUUUUUUUUUUUUGUUAAUCCAUGUUGUGGACUUGGUUAAUAGUUUGAAGUUUAUGUUGGUGUAUAUUGGUUGUUGGCAGUGUGGAAAUUGGAAUUGUAUAAUUGUAUAUUUGUCGAAUUAUAACAUAGUGUGGAAUUGCUGGCACGGCAGUGUGGAAUUGUAUAAGUUAUGAGAAAACGAUUGUGAAAUGCUUCUAAUUUCAUUGACUAUGAUUAAUUUGGGAAAAAAGCUUUACAAUGAUUCCGUGUCUGUUUCAAUUUCUUUUAGAUUUUCUCUUCUCACAGUUUAAGCGUUGCUCAUGCCACUGGAAUUGGUUACUUCAAUUCCAUUACUAGGCCGAAUAAUUAAAUGAAAUAGAGCUUGUGCCUUUCUUGUGGAGCCUUACAUAUUAAAUUUGAUUCAAUAAUAAAUAUUAAGAAUAUUCAAUUGAAUAUAACUUGCGGAAGGUAUAUUUUGUAAAACUUUAAUUUAAAUUUCUGUAAUGGCUUGGGAAAGUAGAUUGAGAUUAUCCAAAUGUGCUUAAUUCAGUUCAAUACUUCAAAUUAUUAAAUAAAUCAUUUUUCUUAUUUCUUUUUAUUUGAUUUAUUUUAGAUGUCUAAUUAUUCAAGAGUUCAAGACAACCUUGAUUGUGUAGCCGAUGAUUUGGAACAUGAAGUUGAAGUUAAUGAUAAUGAAAAUGAUUCGGCAACAAUUGUCACUGGUGGAAACAAGCGAAAAAAGUCAUCCUCAUCCAAACCACCACUACCAAGGAAAAAAAUGGCUCCAAGAUCACCAGUGUGGCAACAUUUCACUAGAGUUCCAAAUGAUCAUACAAAGUGUAAAUGCAACUACUGUGGUCAAGAAUUUGAAUGUGGGACGGUCGGGUACGGGACUAGCACUUUGAGAACUCAUAAUCGUGAAAGAUGUCAAAAGUUCAAGGACUUGCAAAAAAACCAAACAAUAUUAACUCAAGAUGUUGGUAGUGAUGAAGUUGUAGCAAGGGGAUUUAGUCAAGAAGCUUGUAGACGGGCAACCGUGAAAAUGAUUGUUCUUGAUGAAUUGCCUUUUUCUGUUGUGGAGAAUGCAGGUUUUAGGCAUUUCUGUAGUGUUGCAGCUCCGAGAUAUCUUCUCCCAUCACGAAGAACCAUUAGUAGGGAUACUCUUGAGAUGUAUUUGGAGGAAAAGGUUAAGUUGAAGAGUUUAUUAGCGGGGAAUAAGCAGAGAGUAUCUUUGACCACGGAUAUUUGGACUUCCAUUACAACAGCUAGCUACAUGGUCAUCACCGCUCACUUUAUUGAUAGAGAUUGGAACUUACAUAGGAAGAUUAUCAGUUUUAACACUAUUAAUGAUCAUUCAUCGGAGACCAUUGGUAAGCAACUUAAAAAAUGUUUAAUUGAUUGGGGUAUCGAGCGAGUGUUUACUGUAAGUGUUGACAAUGCAAGUCCAAAUGAGGGUGCUCUUAGGUACUUGAUUGAUAGAGUAAAGACUUGGAGGGAUGAUGGCUUAGUGUUGAAUGGAGAUUAUUUGCAUGUUCGUUGCUGUGCACACAUAUUGAAUUUGAUCGUUACUGAAGGGUUGAAGGAAUUAGAGCAGAGUAUAGUUAGUGUUCGGAAUGCGGUGAAGUAUGUGAGAUCUUCCACUGCUAGGAUGCAAGCAUUUCAAAUUCGUGUGCAACAAGAGAAGAUUAAAUGUCGAGGAAGUGUGAUUUUGGAUUGUCCCACUAGGUGGAAUUCAACAUAUUCCAUGUUGAAUACGGCAUUAAAAUUUAAGCCGGCAUUUGAUCGAAUGGCACUUGAAGAUAAGCUUUAUGAUGCUUAUUUCAAUGAAAAAGAGGGUGGAAAGAAGAAAAGGGAGGGACCGCCAUUGUACAGUGAUUGGGAAAAUACUCGACGCAUAGUUAAGUUUUUAAAGACGUUUCAUGAUGCGACUUUGCAAUUUUCUUCAUCUUUGAAGGUAACAUUAAAUCUUUAUUAAAUUUUUUUAAUUUUUGAUAUAUAAUAAUCCGAUGAAGUUUAUUUUAGCUUUAUUAACAUUGUUUUUAUUUAUAUAAUAGAAUAUAAAAGAUAAUUAAAAAAAUUCUAUAAGCUAUAUUAUUUUUUUUAUGAGCUAUAUUUUUUUAAUUUUUGAUAUAUAAUAAUAUGAUGAAGUUUAUUUUAGCUUUAUUAACAUUAUUUUUUUUUUAGGUGACAUCAAAUAUUUGUUACAAUUUGAUAUGUCAAAUUGAACAAUCUUUGGGAUCAUUGUCCACUAGUAACGAUAGUCUUUUGAGUUUCAUGGCAAUUAAAAUGAAGGAAAAAUUUAAUAAGUAUUGGGAUGGUUGUUUCAAGAUAAAUAAGUUGUUGAUUGUUGCUUCCGUACUUGAUCCAAGAGGAAAAAUGAAAUUCGCAACACAUUGCUUUGAGAAAUUAUAUGGCAAGGAUAGUGCCAAAUGUGUUGAGAUGAAGGAAAUGAUCAAGAAUUUAUUGAUUAAGCUUUAUGAGUCUUAUAAUGCACAAUACAAACCGAGUGGAAGUGGGAGUGCAAGUGGAAGUGCAAGCGGAAGCACAAGCGAGAGCCAAAAUUUAACUAGUGGAAGUGGAAGUGGUUCGCAUUUUUGGGAUUUGGAUGAUGAUGAUGAUGUUAUGAUUGAGGAUCCUUUCUCCGAAUUUAGUAAAGUGGUUGCGGUUAGUGAAGGUAGCCCGGAGUUAUCAAAUGAGUUGGAUCUUUACUUGAUGGAGAAGACUGAAAAAAUUGCAAAAAGUAAUUUGGGCACUAAAUUUGAUAUUUUAUUGUGGUGGAGGGUGAAUAGUGCCAAUUACCCAAUCUUGUCAAGUAUAGCAAGGGAUGUUCUUGCUAUUCCGGUGUCUACUGUUGCCUCUGAGUCUGCCUUUAGUACUGGAGGUCGUAUAUUAGAUCAGUAUAGAAGCUCUUUGACUCCAGACAUGGUGGAAGCAUUGGUAUUGUUACAGAAUUGGUUGCGGACUUCUCUUUUUGUGGAUACAACGACGGACCUAAAUAAAUUAGUUGAAGACAAUAAGUUUAUGGAUCAACUUGCGGAAGGUAUAUUUUGUAAAAUUUUAAUUUUAAUUUACUUUUUAAGUAUUAUCAAUAUUAUAUAAUUUGUUUAAUUUUAAUCUAAGUUUAUUUUUUAAGUAUUACUAACCUUGUUCAAUUUAUCCAAUUUUUGUAUGUAGAACUUCGCAAAUCAACAACAGUCGACCAACUUUGUAGGUCAACAUGAAAAUUGCGGUUGAACAUAAACCAUUUUAGGUAAUUAAAUUGAUAUAUAUUUAUUAAUUAAUUAUUAAAUCGCUUUAUUUUAUUUAGUUUAAUUAUUGAGUGCUUUGGCUUAUUUUGAAAGUUUGAAUUUUGAUGUAGGUGAUGUGGGUGGCGGAUGAAAUUGUUGCUUGUGUAUUGAAGUUGAAGGCUUCUCUUAUUUUGUUUUGUUUAGAGUAUGGGAUUUUCAUGUAGAUGAUGUGGGUGGUGGAUGAAAUUGUUGCUUCUCUUAUUUUGUUAUUUACUUGAAGGCUUUGUAUUAGGACUUUUGUUAUUUUGUUUUUUACUUGAAGGCUUUGUAUUUGAAGUUGUUGAUUGUGUAUUGUAGACUUAUUGUGUUUUAUUUUUCUUGUUGUGAACUUAUAUUCUGUAAAAUGUAGGGGAAAAUUGUAAAAUGCAGUAAAAUUAGGCGAAAAUUGUAAAAUGUAGUAAGAUUUGGUUAAAACUGUAAAAUCUAUAAAUAUGUGCGAACCGAACCAAACCAAACCAAACCGAACCGAAUUUUAGAACCGAACCGAACUGAACCGAAAUAUUUCGGUUCGGUUCUAAAAUUCGGUUCGGUUUGGUUUGAAUUUUUUUGAACCAAUUGGUUCUGGUUCGGUUCGGUUCGGAGCCCGAACCGAACCGAACCGGAAAAUGCCCACCCCUACUAAUAUCAUUGAGUAUUAAACUGUAAAAAAUUAUUUUCACUAAUUCUUUUAUUAUAACAUUGUCCCCAAUGAAUUAAUUUCCCGGAUCAUCUAUGUACAAGAACCCUCUGUUUGAAUUUUUUUUUUUACUAUUUUUUUCCCAUUGUUAAAUUUUCGCAUAUGUAUCUUUCAAGUAUAAAAUCCGUUUUUUUCUCUUUUUUUUCUUAAUCCUGUUUAAUAAGAACUGGAGUUAAUCUCAAAUGUUAAUUGUUUGUUUUGAGAAACAUAGUUCUAUGUGUACGUGACUUUUAAUUUCUGUUAUUUCCUUUUUUCAGAUGUGACUUUGAACAUUAUUAUAAAAUAUUGGUUGUAGAAAUUUUUAUUUUUAACUAAAUGAUAUAUUUUUACACUUGCCCAUUUACUUUUUCUUGAUAAAAUUAUAAUGAUUAUAGACAUUAAGAAAUUAAUUACCACGUGCAUUAAAUAAUGAAUUACUGAAAAAGUUGUUUUAUAAAAAAAAAUUCUACCACAUAUAUUUUCGCUGUUUUUAUAUUGUCAAACAAAUAAAAAACAUAUUUUACUGUUCUUAUUUUUAUAUAUUGUUUAGAAAAUAAAUUACCAAAUACCUUUUCAAUUUGGGAAUAUCACAUCAAAAACCUAUUUUACUUCUUUAAAAUAAAUAUAGAAAACACCAAUCGAAAAAAUGACACCAAAAGCACCAUUAGUGUCUGCAGUCUCAAUUGGAGUUUUUUUUUUUAUGUCGUUAUUCUUAUCGAUCACUGUAGCAGCAUUUAACCAACGCAUGCAUCCAAUCUUUUUUUCUAGCUGAUCCUUCUAAGUCUUGCCUAAAUUAAUUAGUUUGAACUUUUGUAUAGCAUCAGUGCAAAAGCUUAUCCGAUUGAUAGUGAUAAAAUGAUCAUAAAUUUGAUUUUUACUCAUUUAUUACUUUCAUGCGACCUCAUUUUGUAUAUCAAAAUUGGUAUGAGAAUAUAUAUGUUUUUUUAGGUGUAGUCUGAAUCUAAAUUAAAAAUAAAAUAAAAGAAAAUAAUAAGAAGGGGAGAAAGGAGAUUUUGAUAAAAGGGCAAUUGACAAAAUCAGUGUCUAAACGACAAUAUUUUGGUCGUUAGUUACAACCCAAAAAACAGAAAAAAAAAUUAAAAAAUCAUUUUAAUGGUGACCUGAAGUCGGCCUUGGCUUUUUCCUAAAUACAUGAAUUAUACACGUUGCAACAUUUGGAAUAAUCAUUUGAUCGAUCUCAAUGGAUCGCUCUGCAACUCCUAUUAUCUCCUUGUUAUUAUUGUCGAUUGUUCCGGCAGCAGUGGCCAUUCUAGGCUUGAUUUUCUACUGUGUGAGGAGAAAGCCUAGAAGCAGAGGUAAAAGUUUCUCAUUUAAUCGCACGAUUUUGAGAGUUGAAUAUACGUACGUACGUACGUACGUAGACAUAUCUUAAUUAAAGCUUUAAUUUCUUCACCAUCCAGGAGAGGAUUUGAUGAUGUUUGAUUUGGAUUUGAACCUGAAAGCCGAUAAUGUUAUCAUCGAGCUUCCUGCAAACAAUAAGCAGGCAAAAAGAAGCAAAAAGAAGGAAGUUGACCAACUGCCCUUAUUCAGUUUUUCCAGUGUUUCUACUGCAACAAAUAAAUUCUCCGACGCAAAUAAGCUCGGAGAGGGUGGCUUUGGCCCUGUUUAUAAGGUACUACAGAUAUCCUUUUCUUUGGAGCAAUAAUUUCAUUUUUAACAGAACUAUAAAUUCACCAUCUUCAGGGAGUGUUAAAAAAAGGAGAUGAGAUAGCUGUGAAAAGGCUUUCGGGAAGAUCUGGACAAGGAUUGCGAGAGAUGAAAAAUGAAGCUUCGGUGAUAGCCAAGGUUCAGCACAAGAAUCUUGUUAGGCUUUUAGGCUGCUGCAUAGAUAAAGAUGAGAAGAUUCUGAUCUAUGAGUACAUGCCUAACAAAAGCUUGGACUUCUUUCUUUUUGGUUAGUGUUUUGCAAUUUUUUCUUAUUCUCACAUAUUCCUUACUUCAAAUUUUAUUCAUACAUUUGUUUAAACUACUAUUUAAUACGAAAUUUUAUAUCAAAAAUUUAUUUAAACUAGAAUUUAGCUUAUAUUACAUUUCCAAAUUCUAUUCAUUAGUUUAUUUAAAAUAGCAUUUAGCAUUUAAUUUAAGAUUAUAUAUCAAAAUUUCAUUCAAUAAUUUAUUAAAACGUGUACAUAAUAUUAAAUAUCAAAAUUAUUCAAUUAUUAAUUUAUAUUGAAAUUGAAUAUCUCAUAUAAUAUUCAAUAAUUAACAAUAAACUUUAACAAAUAAUCAUACUUUUCAAAUAGUUUUUUUAAUCAUAAUUUUUAAAUAGUUUUUUUUUUAAACUUCCUUAAAUUGGAUUUAAUAGCAUCUGGUCCAAUACUAAACCAAACACAAAACAUUACUAUAAAAUAAUUCAAUCUAAUCCAAUCCACUUCAAUCUUAAUAACUAGUCCAAUUCAAUCCUUUGUUUACCUAACCUAAAAGAAUAUUUAGCAUUUACUAUUUCGUUUAGCUAUUUUUAAGUUUAAUGAUUAACAUCAUCCAAUUAUCAGAUUUAAAAGAAAAAUUAAGUCACUAGAUCAAUUUACGUCAGAUUAUGCGGUCAACAUUUUUUAUUUUCAUACAUAAUGACAUUUAGUCUUUUUGUUGUAAAUUAGAUCCAACCAAGCGAAUGUUAUUAGAUUGGGUAACACGUGUUCAGAUUAUUGAAGGGAUAGCUCAAGGACUUCUUUAUCUUCAUCAAUAUUCUAGGGUACGAAUUAUUCAUCGAGAUUUAAAAGCUAGUAACAUCUUGUUGGAUAAAGACAUGAAUCCCAAAAUAUCAGAUUUUGGAAUGGCAAGAAUUUGUGGAGGAAAUGAGUUACAAGCAAACACUAGUAGGAUCGUUGGGACUUAGUAAGUAAAUGACACAAACCAAAAUUAAAGUGAUUAAGUUAUGCAUAAAUUACUGAUUAUUAUUUAUUAAUUAUUGAAUUACAGUGGUUAUAUGUCCCCGGAAUACGCACUCGAAGGAAUAUUUUCAAUUAAAUCCGAUGUUUUUAGCUUUGGAGUAUUGUUGCUUGAGAUUGUAAGUGGCAAGAAGAACACUGGACUUUAUCGAACCGACUCUCUCAAUCUGCUAGGUUAUGUAAGUAGCAAAAGCGAUUACACAUAUUCUUUUUAUAUUACUUAGGUGAAAAUAUUUAUUAAUUCCCAAGUCAUGCUCAGGUGUGGACAAGCACAAUGUGAAAACGUUUGAAUUUUUGCACCUGACAUAAACUAUUCUCUAUAUCGAGUGUAGGACUAUCUAAUAACACCGUAUGGUUGUUCAGGCAUGGGAUCUGUGGACAAGCAACAGGACAUUGGAGUUGAUUGAUCCAAUAUUAGAAGAUGAAUAUUCCUCCAAGCAUAUGCUUUUAAGAUAUGUGAACAUAGCUCUCCUUUGUGUACAAGAAAGUGCUGAUGAUAGACCCACCAUGAAUGAUGUUGUAUCCAUGCUUACAAAUGAAGCUGCAGCAUUACUUCCUCCCAAACAACCUGCUUUUUCGUUUGUAAGAAAUACA